rnacentral:rRNA from 1 species
UACAGAGGGUGCGAGCGUUAAUCGGAAUUACUGGGCGUAAAGCGUGCGUAGACGGUUAUUUAAGUCGGGUGUGAAAGCCCCGGGCUCAACCUGGGAAUUGCAUUCGAGACUGAAUAGCUAGGGUACGGUAGAGGGAAGCGGAAUUUCCGGUGUAGCGGUGAAAUGCGUAGAUAUCGGAAGGAACAUCAGUGGCGAAAGCGGCUUCCUGGACCAGUACCGACGUUCAGGCACGAAAGCGUGGGGAGCAAACAGGAAUUGAG